rnacentral:sRNA from 1 species
GUCUUUCUAUACUUUACAGCCUGAUUUAGCAGCUAAUGAAGCCCAGCUUCUGAGGAAAAUUCAGUUGUUGUGCCUCAUGGAGGUAAGCAAACACCCAGGAGCCACUUUGUCUGUGGUUUCAGAUUUUGGUCAGGUGGGGGCACUGUGCUCUCCAAGCCUGUCCUGAGCAGUGUGAGCUUUCAGUGGUGCUGCUUCUGCUGUGCGUCACUCUCUUCACCACCUUCCUUUUCCUUUGCCACCACUUGCUUUUUUAAGUUUAUAUUUGGUUCUUAGCUCAGACGACACCCUCCCACCCCACUGCCACCUCCCUGAGGCCUUCCCUGACCAUCUGAACUGCGAUGAAGUAGCCACCCCUCUCCCCGUGAUGCGGUUGUUGCCUCAUUGCAUGUCGCUUCUUGUCUACACGCACAUCUGUCUUUCUCCACUAGAACUUAAGCUUCGUCAGGAAGUGGCGCUUACAUUUCUGGUUUGCCGUGGUCAACCCUGGUCAACCCUGGCAAAUUGUGGCCUCAAGUACUUGUUUGGGGAUUGAACAAUGGCUACUGUCAGAAACUCCUAUAAGGCAUUUUGCUGUUAUCCUUCUUACCUAAGCAUUGAAAGCUUGUUCUUAACAAGGUACAUGUCUAAUAUUAGGAAACUUUUUAGUAUAUGGGGUACUAAUAAGAUCUCUAUUUUCAGAGCCAAUAUUGACAAAACAUCCUUAUCAGUUCUCUAUUUUUAUUUGGAAAAAUAGUUUAAAAUAGUUAAUAAAAUUUUUUCCAGAUGACUUUCACACGACCUGCCAAUCACAGACAACUCACUUUUGAAGAAAUUGCCAAAAGUGCUAAAAUCACAGUGAAUGAGGUACGGUCCCUAGGCUCAGGGUGUUAGAGCAGCAAAGCUGCCACAUAGAGGAGUCAAGGCUCUUGUGUGAGCACUGUGCUCCCUAGACAAUAAAAAAUGAUGGGAGGAGUGGCAUCUGCUUCUCAGAAGCCAUCUGGGUCCAUGGGGGUGUGUCAGGCUAUCUUGUCUUACACACGCCCCCAUCUCUGCACAGGUGGAGCUCCUGGUGAUGAAGGCCCUUUCGGUGGGGCUGGUGAAAGGCAGUAUAGAUGAGGUGGACAAACGAGUCCACAUGACCUGGGUGCAGCCCCGAGUGUUGGAUUUGCAACAGGUGAUGUGUUUGAAACCCAUUAUUCACCUCUGUGGGUUUUGAGGGAUUGUGUCUAUACCGUCUUAGUUUCAUUUGGAUGGAAGCCAUUUGGGAAGAAAGCAUUAUUAGACAAGAGGUUUUGGAGAAGGAAUUACUGCUGUUGGGUUUUUCUAAGAGCCUAAUUUAAUGCAAGCCUGGGAUUUGAACCCUGCAUUUAAAAGCUUAUGAUGACAAUAGCACUGGUUGUGCUGAUGGUGCCUUUUAAUCUUAAGAUAGGUGCUCUGAUCAAAUACGUUCCUGGUUCUGUGAUUUGAGCUCACGUUGAUCUUACAUUUGCUGGAAAUGUAGUCCUGUGGAUUUCCUCUAUUCUUGUCUGCUUUCUUUCAUGCAAGUUUUUUCUAAUGUUCUUGUGAUAAGAAUUAACCCGGCAAGUCCUAUCACACUCCCCCAGCUCAGAGGUCCUUUUUAUUAGAGCUGCCCUAGAGAGUUAGCUGGAGAUGUAGAUUCGCCCCAUCAGGUGCUGUGCCAGCGCUUGGCCUGUGACUCCUGCGUGUCUUAACGUCCAUUGUGUCCGGAUUUGCAUUUCAGAUCAAGGGAAUGAAGGACCGCCUGGAGUUCUGGUGCACGGAUGUGAAGAGCAUGGAGAUGCUGGUGGAGCACCAGGCCCAUGACAUCCUCACCUAGGGCCCCCUGGUUCCCCGUCGUGUCUCCUUUGACUCACCUGAGAGAGGCAUUUGCAGCCGAUCAAGCUGGCUGCUCAGACGGUCGACAUUGAAUUUGGGUGGGGGUUGGGAUCCUGUCUGAAGUACAGACUGUUCUUGCUCUAAAAACAGGACUGUCCCUGAUGGGGGCCAGGCCACAGGGAGGAGGCUUCUUUGUGGGUCUCUCCUGCAGAGGGUGGGGGUCUCACGGUCUUAGGUGAUAAGGGAGAGAAAACGCGUGAGGCAGGAAGUCACCUAAAGUCUGUGUAUUCCAAGGUUGAUCUCCAUCCCCAUCCACCUGUACAUCUUUUCCGUUGUGGUUUGAGAAUGUUCCUAUAAUAAACCCAUCUGCUUUGUUCU